AUUGAACGCUGGCGGCAGGCCUAACACAUGCAAGUCGAGCGAGCGGCGGACGGGUGAGUAAUGUCUGGGGAUCUGCCUGAUGGAGGGGGAUAACUACUGGAAACGGUGGCUAAUACCGCAUACUAUCGGAUGUACCCAGAUGGGAUUAGCUAGUAGGUGGGGUAAAGGCUCACCUAGGCGACGAUCCCUAGCUGGUCUGAGAGGAUGACCAGCCACACUGGAACGGAGACACGGCCCAGACUCCUACGGGAGGCAGCAGUGGGGAAUAUUGCACAAGGGGCGCAAGCCUGAUGCAGCCAUGCCGCGUGUGUGAAGAAGGCCUUAGGGUUGUAAAGCACUUUCAGCGAGGAGGCGUUACUCGCAGAAGAAGCACCGGCUAACUCCGUGCCAGCAGCCGCGGUAAUUC
rnacentral:rRNA from 1 species